UUGUCUGAUGUACAAUUAGAGUGUGCGUAAUAACCUAUUCUGGAUAUUUCUUAUGCAAAUGGAGCAAAGCAUGCAUAAUCAUAUGGUAGGGCAAACUGCGUCAGUUAUCUUGCCUUCUAUUCCUUACUCCCUGAUCCUAAUCCAUCUUCUCUAAAAGAAACUCGGUGAAAAGUUGUUCAAGGCUUGUUGAUUUCCCAUGGACCAUUUAUAGUGAAUACUAGUGUAAGAGAAGUGCAACUGUUCUUAUCGAAUGCUGACAGACAACUGAGCUGAAAACUUUAGAAUGAGAUACUCUUAAUCUGGACCGCUUAUUAAAUCUGGUGAUUCAUAGAAAGAGGAGAACAAUUGUAAUUUAAUCUCGAAAUUAAGAAAAAGAUUCAAUUAAGCAUUAAUCCUGAUAUCUAACAUUCAAAAGUUCCCUGCUCUGACGACUUUCAAAUUUGAAUUAUUGAUUUUUGUGAGAACAAAAAUCAUGCAUUUCUAUGUUUGUUAAAUGCAGUGUUAAAUUAAUAAUCACACCAGGUUUAAUGAUUUUUUAUUUAUGCUGGCCCAUGUUAAAACCAGCUCUUUACAAAGGAAUUUCAUUUGCUCUCAGUACGCCUCGGGUUCUUAAUUUUUUUUUUUCUGCAGGAAAACUAUGAGUUACAAAGGUUUAAAGAAAAAUGGUGGAAACCACAACAAUGUCAGUGGGUAAAUAAAUCUGAGCCAAAGAACGAGCCUCUAAGUUUCAGUAGAAUUCAAGGAAUAUUCAUGUUCCUUGGUGUUGGGGGACUUAUGGCUCUUAUUACUGCACUUUUUGAGUUUACUUUCAGCUAUCUUGCUCAGAAAAGUGUGACUAAACGAAGUAUUGAAAAUGUGAAAAAUGAAAGAGAAAGAAUGCCUGAUGUAGAAUAAUGGGUACUGAGGAUUAAAAUCUUUGGAAAUUAUGAAUUAUUAAUAUUAUAAUCUAAAUCUGUUCAGUGUUUUCAAUGUAUCAAAAUAAAUAUCAAAUUUU